AUUGGCCGAGGUGAAGGAAGCCACGUCUUCCGGAGAAGUUGCUUACUUCACUCGUUAGGACCGAGCCAUCCCGGAUUCUCGGCAGCCUAUUGGCCUCGCUAUCGACGAUCACGUCUUUUACUCCAGCUGCUUUAUCUCCGCCGUUCUCGGGCACGAUCCCUUCCGCACAACCCGAGGCGUGGAAUCCUCGUGAAACUUUUAUAUUCCUGCGAGCCCUAUAAACAUUUCACAGUCUUUUUCGUCCGGACUCCAUCCGAGACGCGGAGACUCUGAUUUGCCGAAACGUGAAAUUUAAUAAUAUUAAUCCGUAACGUAUUCUUAGUCUCUCGUAAUUUUUGUCUCCACCCUUCAAGAAAGCUCAUCGAUCCCUCUAAACAAGUACGGAGAAAUUCAUCCGACAAAAUUGGGGAGGAUUCCAAGGGGGAAGAAAAAUUAAUCGCGACCGAAAGUCACGGCCGAAAGGGAGGCGAGUGCCAAGGACAAAAAGCAGGGAUGAAAGGAAGUGGCCGAGCAGAAAGGUGAGCGUUCCUCGAGGUGACAAGGUAAAUAAGCAACGUGAGCCAUAUACGUAAAACGCUGAGUGCCGGUAUCGCGGGGACUCAUUGCUUUUCAUGAGGCCAGGAGAGAGCGGCUAGGAUCCCGGAGACCGAUGGUCAAUUCCGGAUUCAAUUCAAUCCUGGGAAAGCAGAUGGAGGUGGCGUAGAUUAUAAAUAAACAUGAAGGCCAAGAAGAGGGUCACCUAACCGAAAUCAUGAUGGAUCGCUCCCCGCAACACUCACAAAGACGCAUCGCUGUACGAGUUCGAUUUCGGGUUGCGAAGAUAAAUGCAAUUCUCGCCGAAUCGACCACGUGGCAUUCUUUCAAUUGGAGCGACAUUGACGAGACCUUGCAAAUGCGAAAUAAUGGGAGAUUCCAUGGGGCAUAAUUGAACGGCAGAGUGAGGCGUUGGCGAAGAAUGCGAAGGCACCAGUGGGGGUGUUCCAUUUAAAGAGAGAACCGUCUAAUGAGAAAUCCUAUCACCUCUCUCCUGAAAUUACGAGAAAAAUCAGUCUCGAGGGAACAUACCCCUCACCUGGGCGUUACUUCAGAGGCGACGGUGUUAAAGGGUUGAAUUGAAGUCCCCACGUACAAGCCAUGAUUUUUUUCCAUGCAAUAGCAGAAAUAUUUUCAAUCAGUGUAUAAAUUUAUUCUGUACGUUUUCGGCAUAAUUCGGCACUCGGUAUAUGUGAAGAAUUGACUUUGCUCAUUUUGCAGCGUGAAGGAAGGAAUUACCCCUGAAGAGGCCUCCGCGAGGUCGCGGAUUAUUCGUCCUGUUAUCAGCUGGAGAAGCCGGACAAUCGGACAUGGAUGGCCUCGUUUAGCGAUUCUCGAAGAACCAUGAAAGGGUCCGUUGCGGGUUCGGGAUCUGAAGGCGAGAGGGGCUCGUUUUCGAAUUAAUUCCAAGCAAUGGGAGAACGGCUGAGAGGUGCGUCUGGAGCGGACAGGCUUCCCACGGGACCGCAUGGCGCUUCCAGGAGGCGGCUCUACAUACAAUAAAGAAAUUCCACGAUUCCAUCCGGAAGCGAACCUACGAGGUGCGAUCGCUCGAGGGAGCCCUGGUGCUUGAGUUAAUGAAAUCCAUUGGCCGCCUAGUGAACCGUUCAUCGGUCUUGUCAGGGAGAUAUCGAAAAUCAUUCCAGAAUUCCCCCAUUCAAACCUGGACCCUUGGCCUCGAUCGGCAAGGAGAGACUAGUCAACUCGAAGAGUGCGAUCGUCACGUGUCAAUUGUACUCUAUUUGCGGUGGAAAUAAUAGAAGAGAAGUCGUUUCGAAAAAUCGUUACCAUGAGGAGCGAACGCUGGAUUUGGUCAACAACCAAGAUGGCCGCUGAAGAGCGAGAUGUCUCGGCUGGAUCCGGGAAUUCUAAAAUUCUUUGUAAGAGCAGUCCUGAACCCUAAUAUGUAAUCAAUGUCGCGGCGAAAUUCUGCACUUUUCCAGUUCGGUAGCAGAUAUCAUCGACUCGAUGACUGAGAAUUUAUUGAAAGAAGUGGAUUCAAAUGGAAAAGAAGCAGUGGUUCGUUGCAAAUGGAAAAGAAAAUGUCCUAGAUCCAGAAACGUCCAACCCCUCCUAUAUUUCGUUAGCUUAAUGAACCAGUUAAUUACCCUCGAAUUAAACAAGUCAAGAUUAUCAAGUCAAUAGACCCCACGCGGAACGUACUCCCAGGGGGCAACACACGUUUUACAUAAACUUCCAUGCCUUCCUCUGAAUCGUUUAUUUCUCAGCGUCUGUAAGAUCGUCGAGUGAUCAUUUCUUUCUUUCCUCGAGAGCCUUCUACGAGUAAUUCGAUAAAUCAAGAUCAGCCUCAAGAGAGUCGCAAGAAAUGUGCUCCAAGAUGAAAUAAUCCCUGUUACCGUACAGUGAAUCUCGAGGGCAAAGAAAUUGUGUUAAUGGCGGAAAAUAAAA